UAGGGAAUCUUCCGCAAUGGACGAAAGUCUGACGGAGCAACGCCGCGUGAGUGAUGAAGGUUUUCGGAUCGUAAAGCUCUGUUGCCAGGGAAGAACAGAAGUGAGAGUAACUACUCACUUUGUGACGGUACCUGAGAAGAAAGCCCCGGCUAACUACGUGCCAGCAGCCGCGGUAAUACGUAGGGGGCAAGCGUUGUCCGGAAUUAUUGGGCGUAAAGCGCGCGCAGGCGGUGAUUUAAGUUUGGUGUUUAAGCCCAGGGCUCAACCCUGGUACGCACCGAAAACUGAAUGACUUGAGUGCAGAAGAGGAGAGUGGAAUUCCACGUGUAGCGGUGAAAUGCGUAGAUAUGUGGAGGAACACCAGUGGCGAAGGCGACUCUCUGGUCUGUAACUGACGCUGAGGCGCGAAAGCGUGGGGAGCAAACAGG
rnacentral:rRNA from 1 species